CAAAUACUUACAGACAAGACAAUACCUGCGUUCCUGCCUCCCAGUGCCGCGUUGACUGCUUUCCAAACUCGCACUUUGACCAUUGUCCAGGCUUCCAGAAAGUAUACUGUGAAAACCUGAAGCAUGAGCGAGUGCCAAAUGACAAGUGCUACCCUCGUUGUGUCUGCAAUGCGGGAUACGUCUUAUCAGAAGAGCAAUGUGUGAAAAUUAGUGAAUGUCCAAAGAAAGGAAAAUAACACUAAAUUAUGAAAGCUACUCAAUAAAGAGAAAC